GUUCCAGGACAGCCAGGGCUACACAGGGAAACCCUGUCUCAAAAAACAAAACAAAACAACAACAAUAAAAAAGAUAUAUCUUCUCAAAGAGCUACGAGGAGACCCAGGAGAACUCAGCUAAGUCUGCAUGGUCUCUAAGACUGAGGUCUUAGAGAGGCUCCAGGAGCAUCAAAGCAGAGAGGCUAUAUAUGUACUGGAGAUUAAGCCCAGGGUUUUGUACAUUCCAGGUCAGCCAACAUCAGAGAAGCUUCCUCCUGCAGUAGGUGGGAGUGAACUCAGAGACCCACAGCUGGACAAUGGCAGAGACUGAGAGAUGAACGGCUCAACCUAGAUGGCAUGUCUCCAUCAACCCCCUAUCUUUAGGACCCCAGGAACCUUUUAGAAGAGGAGGAAGAAAGAUUGCAAGAACAGUGGGAAUGGAGGACAAAGAACACAGUGUCUCUACACAACAGGGCUGAUGCACACGUGGGCUCCCAGCAACCAUGGCAGCACGCACAGGGCCUGCACAGGCCUAAGCCAUGUGGAGUCCCAUUGCUGAGAGGAGGUCACCAGCCCUCAUCCCUAACCCAGAAGCUAUCUCCAACUGCAACUGCUCACAAAGGAAAAAGCUCAUUUUUCCAACCAAGUGUCACUGGGUCUACAGACCACACUUAAGUGUAAGGUCUAUGCCCAGCAUUAGAUGGCCAAGUCACAAUGGACCCAGUGGUUGACUCUCUCUCUCUCUCUGCAUGUGUGCGUGUGCGUGUGUGUGCACUUGUGUUUGUGCAUGCAUACCAUGUAUGUGCUUUUCAAUCUUUUUUUUGUUGUUCUAUGCUGUUUUUACUUCUUAAUUGUUAUUUGCCUAUUCAUUUUCUAAAGCUAGAGAGAAAGAAGAUGUGGCGUUAGAUGGAUGGAAAGGUGGAGAGGAUCUGGGAGGAGAGGAGGGAAGGGAAGCCAUCACAUCCUAAGGAUAUAUUCUAUGGAAACAUAUACUCUUAAUAAAAAAUCUAUUAGCUAUGGAUAUAUUCUUAUUAUUUUAGCUCUCUGUAUUUUAAGUUCCAGUUUUUUUCUCUGUGAAGUGAUGAUUAUUAUCCAGACAGAUGUCCAUCAACUGGAGGGUGUGCAAUGUCUGAGUCAAGAGUAUUUUAGGGGCUGUGAUAGCUCAUUUGUUUUUUUAUAUAUGGAAAAAAUAACUUUUAGGUCAAAGAAAAUGUCUUACAAUUUUUCUUACAAUUAUAGUACUGUUUGUGCCAAUGUUUAUUAUAAGAGAAUUAAAAAAAAGUAAUCCCUUGA